UACAGGGGGGGCGAGUGUUAUUCGGAAUGACUGGGCGUAAAGGGUAUGUAGGUUGUUUCUUUUUCUUAAAAGUAAAUCGUUUUUCUUCAAUAAAACAGAUCUUUUAAAAGAAUUAAACUAGAGUUUCUUCGGAGGUAGUGGAAUUUCUUAAGUAGUGAUGAAAUGCUUUGAGAUAAGAAGGAAGGCCGUUUGGCGAAGGCAACUACCUAGAUUACAACUGACACUGAGAUACUAAAGCAUGGGGAGCAAACAGG
rnacentral:rRNA from 1 species